GCCUUUGUGGUGUAGUGGUCAGCACGCUCGACGCGUAACCGAGAGGUCCGCGGCUCGAUUUCCGGCGAAGGCG
rfam:Stegodyphus mimosarum contig17011, whole genome shotgun sequence.